rnacentral:rRNA from 1 species
UGGGGGACAACAUUCCGAAAGGGAUGCUAAUACCGCAUACGCCUACGGGGAAAGCAGGGGAUCUUCGGACCUUGCGCUAAUAGAUGAGCCUAAGUCGGAUUAGCUAGUUGGUGGGGUAAAGGCCUACCAAGGCGACGAUCUGUAGCGGGUCUGAGAGGAUGAUCCGCCACACUGGGACUGAGACACGGCCCAGACUCCUACGGGAGGCAGCAGUGGGGAAUAUUGGACAAUGGGGGGAACCCUGAUCCAGCCAUGCCGCGUGUGUGAAGAAGGCCUUUUGGUUGUAAAGCACUUUAAGCGAGGAGGAGGCGCUCUAGGAUAAUACCCUAGAUGCGUGGACGUUACUCGCAGAAUAAGCACCGGCUAACUCUGUGCCAGCAGCCGCGGUAAUACAGAGGGUGCGAGCGUUAAUCGGAUUUACUGGGCGUAAAGCGCGCGUAGGUGGCUAAUUAAGUCAAAUGUGAAAUCCCCGAGCUUAACUUGGGAAUUGCAUUCGAUACUGGUUAGCUAGAGUAUGGGAGAGGAUGGUAGAAUUCCAGGUGUAGCGGUGAAAUGCGUAGAGAUCUGGAGGAAUACCGAUGGCGAAGGCAGCCAUCUGGCCUAAUACUGACACUGAGGUGCGAAAGCAUGGGGAGCAAACAGGAUUAGAUACCCUGGUAGUCCAUGCCGUAAACGAUGUCUACUAGCCGUUGGGGCCUUUGAGGCUUUAGUGGCGCAGCUAACGCGAUAAGUAGACCGCCUGGGGAGUACGGUCGCAAGACUAAAACUCAAAUGAAUUGACGGGGGCCCGCACAAGCGGUGGAGCAUGUGGUUUAAUUCGAUGCAACGCGAAGAACCUUACCUGGCCUUGACAUACAGAGAACUUUCCAGAGAUGG